rnacentral:rRNA from 1 species
CACGUAGGGCGCAAGCGUUGUCCGGAAUUAUUGGGCGUAAAGAGCUCGUAGGCGGACUGUCACGUCUGCUGUGAAAAGCUAGGGCUUAACCCUGGCCUUGCAGUGGAUACGGGCAGACUAGAGGUAGGUAGGGGAGAAUGGAAUUCCUGGUGUAGCGGUGGAAUGCGCAGAUAUCAGGAGGAACACCGGUGGCGAAGGCGGGUCUCUGGGCAGUAACUGACGCUGAGGAGCGAAAGCGUGGGGAGCGAACAGG